GGGGGAAGAGGGGCCGUGGCGCCAUCGCGCAGCUUCCUGGUUUCGGCCAUGUUUUUUUUUUUUUUUUUGAGACGGAGUUUCGCUCUUUUUGCCCAGGCUGGAGGGCAAUGGCGCCAUCUCGGCUCCCUGCAGCCCCCGCCUCCCGGGUUGAAGGGACUCUCCGGCCUCAGGCCGCGGCGUUUUUGUAAACUGGAACCGGCCUGUGCGCCAAGCGCGGCUCCCGCGGCUGCGGAGAGAGGCCCAGCAGGGGGCGGGGACGCCGCGAGGCAGGGCCUGGCCGAGCUGCGCACGCCCGGGUGGUUCUGGCUACGGGUACCCGGACCUGCCCAACGACAGUUCUCCAUUCCCGACCUCCGCACCCUACCCGGUCCGCAGGGCACUUUCCUCCUCUCUCCCAGGCACGUCCUCGACCUCAGUUGCCACGUGCACAUGCUGGUGCCUUCCAGGCUGGAGUAUACUGGCAUGAUCAUAGAUCACUGCAGCCUCAAACUCCUGGGCUCAAGCGAUCCUCCUACCUCAGCCUCCAUAUAGCUGGUGGGAACCAAGUUUCUAACACAUGAAUGUUGGGAGACACAUUCAGACCAUCGCAGUGGCCUUAUAAAAAGAGACACAAGAGCUUGCUCUCUGCCAUGUGAGUAUACCACAAGAAGACUGUCCUCAGCAAAUCAGAAAGCGGGUGGACCCUCAUCAGACACCAGAUGUGCCUGCACCUUGAUCUUGGACUUGCCAGCCUUCAGAACAGUAAGAAAGAAAUGUGUGUUGUUUAAGCCACCCAGUCUAUGGUAACUUGCUAUAGCAGCCCACUAGGAGACCCCAAGAUAUUUAAAAACUCAUCAGCACCUGCUUUCUGCAUCUGGACCCUGAUCUUCUGGUGGGUUUACCAGUUACUUGUAGAGUGUCCCUGUGAUAGUUUUAGGUGUCAACUUGACAUGAUUGAGGGAUGCCUAGAUGGCUGGGGAAGCACUGUUUCUGAAAAGGACCAUGUUUUUGGAGGAGACUGUUUUAUGAGUGAAUUUUGGGGGACACAUUCAGAUCAUGGCAGUGGCAUUAUAAAGAGAGACACAAAAGCUUGCUCUCUCUGCCAUGUGAGACUACCACACAAAGACUGCCAUCUGCAAACCAGAAGCAGGUGGGCUUUCCUCAGACACCAGAUCUGCCUGCACCUUGAUCUUGGACUUGCCAGCCUUCAGAACUCUAAGAAAGAAAUAGUAGCAUGGCUUGGUCUAAGUUGGAAGGCCUGAGAAACAAGCACAUGGUGGAACUGAGUUCAAGGAUAAAGACUUGAGAAUACCUGCUCAGUGGACUGAGUAGGGAAGAUCAACCCUCAAUGUAGGCAAGCACUAUCCAAUCACCUGAGGGCCCAGAUGGAACAAAAAGGUGGAAGAAGGGUGAAUUCUCUCUUCCAGAGCUGUGACACCCUUCUCCUCAUGCCCUUGUACCACACAACUCUAGGUCCUUUGGCCUUUGGACUCUGACACUUGCACCAGUGGCCCUCUGGGGCUCUCAAGCCUUUAGCCUUGAACUUAGUUACACCAUGUGCUUCCUUGUUUCUCAGGCCUUCCAACUUGGAUCAGGCCAUGCCACCAGCUUCUCUGAUUCUCCAGCUUGCAGAUGGCAUAUUGUGACCCUGGCAUUUAAUAACUAUGACUUUGGUCUUAAGCAGUUUUCUUCCUCUGUGGAUUGAUAUUUAGAUAUCAAGGUGGAUAAUAAUUUCUUACCAAGGUAACUGUUGUGAGGUAAAAAUGAGUUAACAUAAGUAAAACCGAGCACAUGCAAACCAUCCGAAAUGGUUAAUACUUACUAUUUGUACUU
rnacentral:lncRNA from 1 species